rnacentral:rRNA from 1 species
GACGAACGCUGGCGGCGUGCUUAACACAUGCAAGUCGAACGGUGAACCUCUUCUGAGGGGAUCAGUGGCGAACGGGUGAGUAACACGUGGGCAACCUGCCCCCGGCUCUGGGAUAACUCCAAGAAAUUGGGGCUAAUACCGGAUGUUCACCGCUUCCCGCAUGGGUGGUGGUGGAAAGGGUUUCCGGCUGGGGAUGGGCCCGCGGCCUAUCAGCUUGUUGGUGGGGUAGUGGCCUACCAAGGCGACGACGGGUAGCCGGCCUGAGAGGGUGACCGGCCACACUGGGACUGAGACACGGCCCAGACUCCUACGGGAGGCAGCAGUGGGGAAUAUUGCGCAAUGGGCGGAAGCCUGACGCAGCGACGCCGCGUGGGGGAUGACGGCCUUCGGGUUGUAAACCUCUUUCAGCAGGGACGAAGCGCAAGUGACGGUACCUGCAGAAGAAGCACCGGCCAACUACGUG